rnacentral:sRNA from 1 species
ACGAGAACAGAAAUCUCGUG